rnacentral:rRNA from 1 species
UACGUAGGGUGCGAGCGUUGUCCGGAAUUAUUGGGCGUAAAGAGCUUGUAGGUGGUUUGUCGCGUCUGCUGUGAAAAAUCCCGAGGCUCAACCUCGGACUUGCAGUGGGUACGGGCAGACUAGAGUGUGGUAGGGGAGACUGGAAUUCCUGGUGUAGCGGUGGAAUGCGCAGAUAUCAGGAGGAACACCGGUGGCGAAGGCAGGUCUCUGGGCCAUUACUGACACUGGAGAAGCGAAAGCCAUGGGGGAGCAAACGGG